CUAAUACAUGCAAGUCGAGCGCGGGAAGCCGGACAGAUCCCUUCGGGGUGACGACCGGUGGAACGAGCGGCGGAUGGGUGAGUAACACGUGGGCAACCUGCCUGUAAGCCUGGGAUAACUCGCGGAAACGCGAGCUAAUACCGGAUGCGCCUUUUGUUCGCAUGAACGAAAGGUAAAAGGCGGCUUUUGCUGUCACUUACAGAUGGGCCCGCGGCGCAUUAGCUAGUUGGUGAGGUAACGGCUCACCAAAGCGACGAUGCGUAGCCGACCUGAGAGGGUGAUCGGCCACACUGGGACUGAGACACGGCCCAGACUCCUACGGGAGGCAGCAGUAGGGAAUCUUCCGCAAUGGACGAAAGUCUGACGGAGCGACGCCGCGUGAGUGAUGAAGGUCUUCGGAUCGUAAAGCUCUGUUGUCAGGGAAGAACACGUGUGAGAGUAACUGCUCACACCUUGACGGUACCUGACCAGAAAGCCACGGCUAACUACGUGCCAGCAGCCGCGGUAAUACGUAGGUGGCAAGCGUUGUCCGGAAUUAUUGGGCGUAAAGGGCUCGCAGGCGGUCCCUUAAGUCUGAUGUGAAAUCUUGCGGCUUAACCACGAGCGGCCAUUGGAAACUGGGAAACUUGAGUGCAGAAGAGAAGAGCGGAAUUCCACGUGUAGCGGUGAAAUGCGUAGAGAUGUGGAGGAACACCAGUGGCGAAGGCGG
rnacentral:rRNA from 1 species